GACGAACGCUGGCGGCGUGCUUAACACAUGCAAGUCGAACGGAAAGGCCCUGCUUUUGUGGGGUGCUCGAGUGGCGAACGGGUGAGUAACACGUGAGUAACCUGCCCUUGACUUUGGGAUAACUUCAGGAAACUGGGGCUCAUACCGGAUAGGAGCUCCUGCUGCAUGGUGGGGGUUGGAAAGUUUCGGCGGUUGGGGAUGGACUCGCGGCUUAUCAGCUUGUUGGUGGGGUAGUGGCUUACCAAGGCUUUGACGGGUAGCCGGCCUGAGAGGGUGACCGGCCACAUUGGGACUGAGAGACGGCCCAGACUCCUACGGGAGGCAGCAGGGGGGAAUAUUGCACAAUGGGCGGAAGCCUGAGGCAGAAACGCCGCGUGCGGGAUGACGGCCUUCGGGUUGUAAACCGCUUUCGCCUGUGACGAAGCGUGAGUGACGGUAAUGGGUAAAGAAGCACCGGCUAACUACGUG
rnacentral:rRNA from 1 species